rnacentral:rRNA from 1 species
CGGGUGAGUAACGCGUAGGAAUCUGCCUUAUAGUGGGGGACAACGUGGGGAAACCCACGCUAAUACCGCAUACGCCCUACGGGGGAAAGGAGGGGAUCUUCGGACCUCGCGCUAAUAGAUGAGCCUGCGUUAGAUUAGCUUGUUGGUGGGGUAAAGGCCUACCAAGGCGACGAUCAGUAGCUGGUCUGAGAGGAUGAUCCGCCACACUGGAACUGGAACACGGACCAGACUCC